AGGGGUGUUAUCCCCUAAAUAGGGCUCUGGCCCCUGGGACCCCGGUUCGAAUCCGGGCCCGGCUA
rnacentral:tRNA from 1 species